rnacentral:rRNA from 1 species
ACGGGUGAGUAAUGCAUAGGAAUCUGCCCGGUAGUGGGGGAUAACGUGGGGAAACCCACGCUAAUACCGCAUACGUCCUACGGGAGAAAGCGGGGGAUCUUCGGACUUCGCGCUAUCGGAUGAGCCUAUGUCGGAUUAGCUGGUUGGUAAGGUAACGGCUUACCAAGGCAACGAUCCGUAGCUGGUCUGAGAGGAUGAUCAGCCACACUGGGACUGAGACACGGCCCAGACUCCUACGGGAGGCAGCAGUGGGGAAUAUUGGACAAUGGGCGAAAGCCUGAUCCAGCCAUGCCGCGUGUGUGAAGAAGGCUUUCGGGUUGUAAAGCACUUUCAGCGAGGAAGAAAGCCUCUGGGUUAAUACCCCAGAGGAAGGACAUCACUCGCAGAAGAAGCACCGGCUAACUCCGUGCCAGCAGCCGCGGUAAUACGGAGGGUGCGAGCGUUAAUCGGAAUUACUGGGCGUAAAGCGCGCGUAGGUGGCUUGGCACGCCGGUUGUGAAAGCCCGGGCUCAACCUGGGAACGGCAUCCGGAACGGCCAGGCUAGAGUGCAGGAGAGGAAGGUAGAAUUCCCGGUGUAGCGGUGAAAUGCGUAGAGAUCGGGAGGAAUACCAGUGGCGAAGGCGGCCUUCUGGCCUGACACUGACACUGAGGUGCGAAAGCGUGGGUAGCAAACAGGAUUAGAUACCCUGGUAGUCCACGCCGUAAACGAUGUCGACUAGCCGUUGGGACCUUUAAGGACUUAGUGGCGCAGUUAACGCGAUAAGUCGACCGCCUGGGGAGUACGGCCGCAAGGUUAAAACUCAAAUGAAUUGACGGGGGCCCGCACAAGCGGUGGAGCAUGUGGUUUAAUUCGAUGCAACGCGAAGAACCUUACCUACCCUUGACAUCCAGAGAAGUUGGCAGAGAUGCCUUCGUGCCUUCGGGAGCUCUGAGACAGGUGCUGCAUGGCUGUCGUCAGCUCGUGUUGUGAAAUGUUGGGUUAAGUCCCGUAACGAGCGCAACCCUUGUCCUUAUUUGCCAGCGAGUAAUGUCGGGAACUCUAAGGAGACUGCCGGUGACAAACCGGAGGAAGGUGGGGACGACGUCAAGUCAUCAUGGCCCUUACGGGUAGGGCUACACACGUGCUACAAUGGCCGGUACAAAGGGUUGCGAGACCGCGAGGUGGAGCGAAUCCCAGAAAGCCGGCCUCAGUCCGGAUCGGAGUCUGCAACUCGACUCCGUGAAGUCGGAAUCGCUAGUAAUCGUGAAUCAGAAUGUCACGGUGAAUACGUUCCCGGGCCUUGUACACACCGCCCGUCAC